rnacentral:misc_RNA from 1 species
UUAAGUUCAGCGGGUAUUCCUACCUGAUCCGAGGUCAACCAUUAAAAAUUGGGUGGUUUAACGGCAGGGGAAGUGAUGUACUCGAAAGCUAGAAUAAAUUACUAAGCUCAGAGGAUAUCACAACUCCGCCGCUGUCUUUAAGGAGCUGCAGGGUAACUACAAGGUAGCACCACUGGAGCAGUCUCCCAACACUAAGCAGG